rnacentral:rRNA from 1 species
GACGAACGCUGGCGGCGUGCUUAACACGUGCAAGUCGAACGGAAAGUUCCGGCUUUGGUGGGGUGCUCGAGUGGCGAACGGGGGAGUAACACGUGAGUAACCUUCCCUUGACUUUGGGAUAACUUCAUGAAACUGGGUCUAUUACCGGAUAGGAGCUCUUGCUGCAGGGUGGGGGUGGGAAAGUUUCGCCGGUUGGGGGUGGACUCGCCGCUUAUCAGCUUGUUGGUUGGGUAGUGGCUUACCAAGGCUUUGACGGGUGGCCGGCCUGGGAGGGUGACCGGCGACACUGGGCCUGAGCUACGGCCCAGCCCCCUCCGCGACGCAGCAGUGGGGAAUAUUGCACUAUGGGCGGAACCCUGACGUAGCCCCGCCGCGUGCGGGAUGUCGGCAUUCGGGUUGUAUACCGAUUUCCUCUGUCACGAAGCGUGAGUGACGGUAAUGGGUAAAGAAGCGCCGGCUAACUACGUG